rnacentral:rRNA from 1 species
AUUGAACGCUGGCGGCAGGCCUAACACAUGCAAGUCGAGCGGAUGAAGGGUGCUUGCUCCUGGAUUCAGCGGCGGACGGGUGAGUAAUGCCUAGGAAUCUGCCUGGUAGUGGGUUAUAACGUCCGGAAACGGGCGCUAAUACCGCAUUCGUCCUGAGGGAGAAAGUGGGGGAUCUUCGGACCUCACGCUAUCAGAUGAGCCUAGGUCGGAUUAGCUAGUUGGUGGGUUAAAGGCCUACCAAGGCGACGAUCCGUAACUGGUCUGAGAGGAUGAUCAGUCACACUGGAACUGAGACACGGUCCAGACUCCUACGGGAGGCAGCAGUGGGGAAUAUUGGACAAUGGGCGAAAGCCUGAUCCAGCCAUGCCGCGUGUGUGAAGAAGGUCUUCGGAUUGUAAAGCACUUUAAGUUGGGAGGAAGGGCAGUAAGUUAAUACCUUGCUGUUUUGACGUUACCAACAGAAUAAGCACCGGCUAACUUCGUG